UACAGAGGCCUCGAGCGUUGUUCGGAAUUACUGGGCGUAAAGGGCAUGUAGGUGGUGUGGUAAGUCAGAUGUGAAAGCCCCGGGCUUAACCCGGGAAGUGCAUUUGAUACUGUGGCGCUAGAGUGCGUGAGAGGAAAGCGGAAUUUCCAGUGUAGGGGUGAAAUCCGUAGAUAUUGGAAGGAAUACCGAUGGCGAAGGCAGCUUUCUGGCACGUAACUGACACUGAGAUUCGAAAGCAUGGGUAGCAAACAGG
rnacentral:rRNA from 1 species